rnacentral:sRNA from 1 species
AUUUGUGGAUUUGCAGCUGGAUAUUUACUUUGAGGCGUUCCAUUGAUGCGGACCGGAUUGCAGCCGAAAGGGAAAUGUCAAUGGAAAAUGAGAACAAUUCUGGGAGCCUUUCGAUAUUCAAUUGAGCAGCCAGCUGCCAAUGAAGAAGUGUAGGAAAACCCCUGAGACUUUUAUCCUUUUUACUGACAUUGCAUAACGACAUAAUGGACAGACGUUUAUCCAGGAUCCACGUUUAUCCCUGUUGGAUGCACCUUGAAGAUGUUUAAUUCAGUGGCUAAGUCCCCUUUUAUGGUCCUUAUUGCACUCGGAAUCUAAUACAAUGGGAAUAACUCUUUGAAGUAUUGGUUGGGAGUUUGGGGUAACUUUAGUCGUAUUUACUGUAGAACUUUGAGCAUCUGUUCCAAUUAAAUUACGUGAAUACAA